UGCCGGGUCGUCUAACUGGUAGGACGCCUGCCUCUGAAGCAGUGAACCCAGGUUCGAACCCUGGCCUGGCAA
rnacentral:tRNA from 1 species